GGAAGGGAUGUAUUUAUUAGAUAAAAAACCAAUGCCCUUCGGGGCUCCUUGGUGAUUCAUAAUAACUCAACGAAUCGCAUGGCCUUGCGCCGGCGAUGGUUCAUUCAAAUUUCUGCCCUAUCAACUUUCGAUGGUAGGAUAGUGGCCUACCAUGGUCUCAACGGGUAACGGGGAAUUAGGGUUCUAUUCCGGAGAGGGAGCCUGAGAAACGGCUACCACAUCCAAGGAAGGCAGCAGGCGCGCAAAUUACCCAAUCCCAACACGGGGAGGUAGUGACAAUAAAUACUGAUACAGGGCUCUUUUGGGUCUUGUAAUUGGAAUGAGUACAAUCUAAAUCCCUUAACGAGGAACAAUUGGAGGGCAAGUCUGGUGCCAGCAGCCGCGGUAAUUCCAGCUCCAAUAGCGUAUAUUAAAGUUGUUGCCGUUAAAAAGCUCGUAGUUGAACCUUGGGUCGGGCCGCUCUGUCCUCCUAAUCGAGCGCACGGAGUCGGUCGGACCUUUCCUUCUGGGGAGCCCGAUGCCCUUUACUGGGCGUCGCGGGGAACCAGGACUUUUAC
rnacentral:rRNA from 1 species